GUAGUACUCCCUCCAUCCCAAAAUUCUUGUCUUACAUUUGUUUAGAUACGGGUGUAUCUAACACUAAAAUGUAACUAGAUACAUCCGUAUUUAGACAAAUUUAAGACAAGAAUUUUGGGACGGAGGGAGUACAAA
rfam:Triticum aestivum genome assembly, contig: Triticum_aestivum_CS42_TGACv1_scaffold_424209_5BS